CCACUCUGGUGGUAAGCGUGUUAUAAAGAACUAGAUUUCUUUCCAGCGUCCGCAACUUGGCUGGAGUAACCACGGAGGAGUUGAAGAGCGCUGGAAAUGCGAGGUUCAUCGCCCGGCGCCUUGGCAGAAAACAGUCCGGGCCAUGAGGACUCGGUGGAAACUAAAAGGAGGGUCGAGUGUGGCCUUGAUGAACAGAUGUCGCUUGCCUGCUGGUCCCAUUCUGGGAAGUCUGGGUUAGCAUGGAGUAUUUGAGGUCACCUCACUCACUUGGGACCUGAACUAGGCCCAGUUCAUUGUCUCAACAAUCCUGUGGAGGAAGUUGUUACGGAUUGAAUGGUGUCCUCUGAAAAGGUGUGCCAGCUGAAGUUCAGAGGGGUCAUGCUACAGUAGAAAGGCACCGUUGGACUCCAACACGUCUUGUCACUCCGGG